CGGCACCGGUUGCUCGCGAUACGCCCCUGUGUCCGCCGCUCUGGAACCCUCCCCUGCAUUCCUUUUCUUUGUUUCGCUUCGCCCUCUGCUUCGAUCUUUUCCCCUUUUUGUUCCGUUUUCUGACGCAGAUUCCUUUUCGUGUUCUUUCUUUGUUCCAUGUUCUUGUUUGAUCUUGUGACGUAGCGUCGUUGGUCUGUUUUUUAUUGUUCUUUUUCGAAUCUUUUCUUGUUCCGACGCAGAUUCCUUUUCGUGUUCUUUCUUUGUUCCAUAUACUUGUUCGAUCUUGUGACGCAGGGUCGUUGGCCCGAUUUUUCUUGUUCUUGUUCGAAUCUUUUGGCGCAGAUUUCUCUUCCUGUUCUUUCUUCUUCUUGUUCGAUCUUUGACGCAGGUCCUUCUCGUGAUUUAUUCCUGUUCUAUUCGACCAUUUGGCGCAGAUUCUAAGGUCCCGCAGAUCGGAAGAGACGGCGAGGUUCUUGAGGGAUUCAGAUGGCGGUGGCGUCGAGGCUGGUUCUUGAUGGGAACCCGAUCAGGCCAGCCACGAUCUGUUUGAUCGGGGCCGGGAGUUCAUCGGAUCCCACCUAUGCGAGAAACUGAUGGCGGUGACGCUCCACGGCGACAAGAUCAAGCAACUCCUUGGUCCGCCGCCAGAGGGGUAGCAGUAGGCGCGCACCACCCUUGGGACUUCCAGAUCCACUUCCACCGCCUCAUCAUCAAGCACGUCUCCAUCUGGUUUUCCUUCCCCUUUUCAAGAUCCUGUUUCGGAUACCCUGCAUUGCCUCCAUGUCCCGCUCUACCAUUUGAUCUUUUCUUAGUGAACUAUUCUCUUUCUCGACGCGUCGUCUAAUUCUUUGAGCGGAUCCGCAUUCCUGGCACCACGUUUUCUUUGUUGCACGAGAAAUCCAAAUCUUGAAUUAGUUCUUGUGCACAACUUCUUUUCCCAUAGAGAUGACCAACGUAACUAACUGCAUUGACGCUCGUCCAGUUGGAAGCUGUGGGAUUUCUUGGUCCCUUCUCUUACAUUUAGGUUUUACCGUGGCUUAUUUAUUUUGUGAUUGCUUGACGUUUGGUGGUUGUUCAGGUCAUGUAUUGCUUAGAUAGCGACAAGCGCCUGAUUCGCUUCACCACUUGUGAAGUCUAUGGGACAGAAACUGGAAGCCUCCUUUCCAAGGAUCACCCUCUAAGAAAGGGACCAAAAUUCUAUGUACUUCACGGAGAUGCUUCCUGAUCCAUUUCUAGGCCUAUUGAGAAGCAGAGAUGAUCUUAUGCAUGUGAAAAUCAACAAAGUCUGAUAUAUGACCAUCUAAAGCUGAGGGUGCAGAGCAUUGUCUGGAGUUCACCAUUGUGAGCCAUGGCGAGGGUUUUCCCAGAAUUUGGCAUGAUUCAGCAAUGUGCCUGUGAGGGACGUGCGAGUCUCAAGGAAUUCUGUGGUAAAGGAUAUGUGGACAGUGAUAAGCAGAUUGCCAACGUGAUCGUAAUCAUUAAGGAACUUUGGUUGGAACGCGCAAGACAUACCUGUGGGACAUUCUGGAAUUGACACUGAUCUAUUGGCAGCCAACAAGAGAGGGUGCGUCGGUCCGCAAAAAGCAUUCUGUUAUCUUUUCCGUUGAUUAGCGUCGAUGAUUCAAAUCCUGUUGACUCGUUGUUGUGUCCUCUGGAAGUGGUUUUAUAUGCCAUGUUACCGGUGUGGUAUUACCCAUGGCCCGCCACAUAUAGAGAGCAUUCUGUUCCAUGUUCUAUUAUCCAUCUGCUAAUUCAU